UACGUAGGGGGCAAGCGUUGUCCGGAUUCAUUGGGCGUAAAGAGCUCGUAGGCGGCUUGGCAAGUCGGGUGUGAAAACUCCAGGCUCAACCUGGAGACGCCACCCGAUACUGCCAUGCUAGAGUCCGGUAGGGGACCACGGAAUUCCUGGUGUAGCGGUGAAAUGCGCAGAUAUACAGGAGGAACACCGGUGGCGAAGGCGG
rnacentral:rRNA from 1 species